rnacentral:rRNA from 1 species
UACGUAGGGUGCAAGCGUUAAUCGGAAUUACUGGGCGUAAAGCGUGCGCAGGCGGUUGGCAAAGUCAGCUGUGAAAGCCCCGGGCUUAACCUGGGAAUGGCGGUUGAAACUAGUCGACUAGAAUCUGGCAGAGGGGGGUGGAAUUCCACGUGUAGCAGUGAAAUGCGUAGAGAUGUGGAGGAAUACCGAUGGCGAAGGCAGCCCCCUGGGAUAACACUGACGCUCAUGCACGAAAGCGUGGGGAGCGAACAGG